GACGUAGGGCGCGAGCGUUGUCCGGAUUUAUUGGGCGUAAAGAGCUCGUAGGCGGCUUGUCGCGUCGACUGUGAAACCCGCGGCUCAACCGCGGCCUGCAGCCGAUACGGCAGGCUAGAGUCGGUAGGGAGACUGGAAUCCUGGUGUAGCGGUGAAAUGCGCAGAUAUCAGGAGGAACACCGAUGGCGAAGGCAGGUCUCUGGGCCGAUACUGACGCUGAGGAGCGAAAGCGUGGGAGCGAACAGG
rnacentral:rRNA from 1 species